CCGAGUUGAACAAAACGUAAACAGAUUAUUUGGGUUGACUUACAAGCGUCAUCCCUGCAGCACUCUAUUAGUUAACUGGGUUCGCAAAAUAUUGCUAAUAUACCCCAAUAUCGCCAACAAGCUCAACAUCGAUCGUUUCGUUGCGGGGUGAGAUGCUGAAAGAUCCUCAGUUAGAAGGAAAGGAAGAAAGUGCGAGAGGUUGGUGUGGAAUAGGUUUCAGGGAGAGCGGCGAUAUUUUGGCUGUAGGAGGUGGUGCCAUUUCCACUGCCCCACAGAGCAGCCAAUAUGCAGCCGAUGCCUUCGACUGCAAUGCCGCGGUUAAUAGCAUGGGUGGGUGGUGGAGGUGCACCAGAGAGACGAGCACAAGCAUAAUAGUCUCCAAUAGACUCCAUUGUGGAUGCCAGUACCCCAGCCAUCAUGCCCAGUACAGACGACAGACUGACAGUAGUGACUCACAGAGCAGCAAUUCCCCAGUGAGACCCUGACUUUUGUCCGGCCUGGAUGAAGAGGGACAGUCCAAUGAGGGUGAUGGUGGGAGCAAUGGCCAGGGGCCCGAUGAACCUCAGAACCAUCCCCACGAGACCAGACAUGCCCAGAACAAGCUGAAGCAUUGAGGCCACUAGAAUGGCUCCCUGAAUCUAUGAAAGGUGGUUCUCUAAGAAGAUGCUGGAUUUAGGAACUGCCUCAUGAGAUGGGAUUGGCCAAACUCCACAGGAUGCUGAAGUACGCAUAAUCUCAUACACAUCUCAUACAUCCUUUCAUUCACAAAGCAGUCCUCUCUCUCACACUAACACGCUGCGGUAUGAACCGACCCCCAUCCACCCCCCCUUCCUGGCAAGCUAUUUUCUGAAUGGAUGCAGAUACCCAGGAACCAUCAGUGCUCUCCUCUCUGAUGAAACACAAAUGGGGGAAGAAAAGGAUGCUGGAGGGUAUUAGUGGAUUUUGUUGCCAUAUGUGGAAGCUUGAAACAUCAAUUUAAAUGUGCGCGUGUUGGGGGGGUUGUACAAAAAACUGUGUACUGUCAUUCAUACUCACCCUGCCUGAGGAUUACAGGCUAUAAUCUGCACGGCAACAGCGUUUUUUCUUUCAGAUGUUGGGGUGGGGGGAGUGAGAGAGAAAGAGAUGAGAUUAAGAAUGGCUGCUGAUUCAUUCAUAAUUUCCUCUCUAUUCCUAUUCCCAUCAUGCACUGGAGGGCAUUGGGGGAAAAACGAUCAGUAAGAUGCAGGAGGGCAGCCGAGGACAAGCAAAACUUCAUCCAUCCACGCCCCUCAUCUUCAUCAGCGACGAGGAAGAGGAGGAAGGGAAUGACGUCAUGGCAAAGGCACCGCAUUGCAAAGUUUUGCUGGCUACACCACAGCACAUGCGCUCGGUCUGCAAGCCGUCGACCAAAAACGAAUAAACUCACACUGGUUAAACUGGUUUGCAACUGGGUGAUGUUGUGCCCAUUUCAGAGUUUAAGUACAGAGCAAUCCAGUAUGUUUGUUAGAUUUUCACUAGCACCAGUGGUUUUGGAAAUGGGAGCACAGCGCAUGCCAGUGCAGUAGCUUGGCUUGACGUAAGCAUGAUGAUGUAAUCGAUUCAGGGCACUGAGUACGAGGUGCAGUCUGAUUUUUUUUAGCUCUAUAGUCAUCAGAAUGGAGACUGAUAACAAAGAAAAAUCCACAUCAGAGACACAGCGGAUAUGCCGGUGCUUUAUUAUGAUGUCAAAACAUCUAUACAAAUAAGAUACAGCGGCUGUAGUUGAGGCGCAGAUAAAGACUCAUUUUGACAAUAAUGUAACUAAUUUAAUCUACUAUGCUAAUAAACCCUAAUAAUGACCAACAGGUGAGUCAUAAUACAGUCAAUGGGCAGAGAAAGAUACAGUAGAUACCUACUGUAUUGUUCAGAAAAUGGCCCCUAGCUACUGGGCUGUACCCUUUCAAAAAGUACACCUUUAUGUACCUAAUGUAUAUAAUUUGUACCUCAGAGGUACACAGUCUGCCAAAGAGUGCAUAUUUAGCCUGAUCUCACGAGAAAUCGUACAUAUUUUACGAGUUGGCUAAUUCGUAUCAAUUCAUACGAAGUUAACCUAACCCCACACCUAACCUCAACGUCACAGAGGUCAAGGCAAAUCGUACCAAAACCUACGAAUGUGGUCAUAUGAAUUAAUACAAAUUAGCCAACUUGUAAAAUAUGUACGAAUUCUCUUGAGAUAGCGUUGGCAUAUUUGUACUGAAUGUAUACAAAUUUGGCAACCAAAUUAUGUACCUAUAGUCAUGUAAAUUUGUGGGUCUUAUGCGUGACACUGACACGGUUUUCUGCCUUUUUGCGUGAACAUGUCAAGCAUUUCCGUUUAUGUGUCACUGUCACAUAUUUGUUAUUCAACUGCUUUGUCCUAUUUUCAAACCAUUGACGCUUCGGUUUAGGGUUGGAUUUGGUGUUUGCGUUAGGAUGUCACUUUAAGUAUUGGUUUAUACCUUUUUUCAUGAUUUAUUUUUUUAUAUUUUACGAUUUUUAAACCAUUGUCGCCUGGCAUUAGGGUUAGAGUUGGGUUUGGGUUAGGAUGUCAUUUAUGUAAAUCUAACC